UUAUUAAAUUAUUUUGCAUAUGCUGAUAGUUGAAAUCUCAAAGUGAAAUCUCAAAGGGUGAUAGUUGAAAUCUCAAAGUGAAAUCUCAAAGGGUCAAUCAUUCAACCCAUCAGCUGAAUGUUACAAUUGCCAUUGAAUUGGAUUGGAUAAAAAUGAAUAUUGAUGGAAUAAUCAAAAAAGCAUUAUGACUUCUGCACAUAAGAGGAGUACUUCGCAAUUCAAACCAUAUUUGGAUUGUUGGUUUCAAUAGAAAUGUGAGACUUUGUUUGAUCACCCAAAUAAAUUGUGGGCGUCUUACAAUAGAUUAAAUCUAGCAUGAGAGGUAAUUGAUUAAUAUUAGCAUGGGAUAUAAGCUUCAGCAAAAUCGUGUUUAAGACAAGUAACCAAUCAAUAGUAAAUAUGCUUAAUGGAAUGACCAAAUAUGCCAAUAGAAUUUCCUUAGAAGCGUCU
rnacentral:lncRNA from 1 species